rnacentral:lncRNA from 1 species
UAUUUAUAGCAUAUCUUAAUAUUAUGUAGAAAAUAUAAGUGUUAUGCAAAGUAGUUUGUUUUGCUGAUUUUUCCUCUUUAACCAACUUUUUUUGUUUUUUUCAGUUCAUCUGCACCUAGAGCUUUUUCAAGAAAACUUAGGGAGGUGGCAAGGAGCACGUAUAGCUGUACUUAGGCCUGGUUUCAAGGGCAAAAGCUAGAAGCCUUAGUAGGACCUAAAACUUUUUGUUUAAUUGACAGUUUAAAAAAAUUUUGAUAUUAGAGAAGUGGGAAGACAAAAUUAUAGAGUCAUGGGUACAAUAUCUAAAAAUGUGUGAAUAAAUUCUAAGAAAAAAAAAAAAGUAAGCUCUUAGCUCACAGCAUUCCAUGUUCUUAAAAACAUGGCACCAGUCCUUGACAGAAUCUCAUUGAGUCUAUGUGUCAAGCACUGAGUAGAUGCUCAAUAAACAGCUACUAAAUAAAAGAAUAAAUUAAAUAUAUUCUAGUGUCCUGUUACUGAACCACAGAUAUAUCUAUAUUAUAUAUAGUACUAUAUUCACAUAUACAAUGUAUUAGAAAGAGCAGUCUUUUGGGGGAAGUUAUAAAAUGAUAAAUGAUCAAUAGAUAGUUUAUUUAUCACAGCAGUGAUUAUAUUUUACAUCAAAAAUGACAAAUUAAAAAUGAAAUAU